UAUUAUUACACUGAUACACUUGUUUUUAGUGGUGAUUAUGCUGGGGCUUUAGUAAAUUAUGAGAAGGAUAUUACAAAUGAUCCAAAGACUACAGCUCAUGAUGACCUGUGUGUGGCUGGAAUGGCAAGAGCAUCACUUUAUACUGGUGACAUGAGAAGGGGAUUAAAAUUAGCUCAUGCUAGUCCUGAUAAGCAACUAAAAAAGAUUGUGCUGCCAUUCUUGAUAAUCUAAAAUUGUUUAAUGAAGCUGUUGCUUUAUAUGAACAAGCCGAAUGUUGGGAAGAAGCAGCUACAGCUUUCAUCAAAAUAAAAAAUUGGAAGAAAGUUGGUCAGUUAUUGUCUAUGCUACCAGAUGCUACUAAGCUUCAUGCACAGUAUGCAAAAGCUGCUGAGUCAGAUUGUCAGUAUAAAGCUGCUGCUGCUGCAUAUGAGAGAGCCAUGAAUUAUCAGAAUGCUACUAGGUACUGUAUACUGUGUGUGGGUUUUGUUGGGAAAUUCAUACUUUAGAGUGUAUUGAAAUUACCAGAUGAAGCAGUUUGUGUAGUAAAUGAAUCUCAAUCUAUUGAAGCAGCACAACUAGUUGCCAAGUUUUUUCAAAAAAUAAAUGAUUAUGCUUUGGCACUUCAAUUUCUUGUUCUCUCCAAGUGUAACGAUGAAGCAUUCAAUAUGGCUGAAGUA